rnacentral:rRNA from 1 species
GAUGAACGCUGGCGGCGUGCCUAAUACAUGCAAGUCGAGCGAAUGGAUUAAGAGCUUGCUCUUAUGAAGUUAGCGGCGGACGGGUGAGUAACACGUGGGUAACCUGCCCGUAAGACUGGGAUAACUCAGGGAAUCCGGGGCCAAUACCGGCUAACAUUUUGAACCGCAUGGUUCGAAACUGAAAGGCGGCUUCGGCUGUCACUUAUGGAUGGACCCGCGUCGCAUUAGCCAGUUGGUGAGGUAACGGGUCACCAAGGCAACGAUGCGUAGCCUACCUGGGAGGGUGAUCGGCCACACUUGGACUGAGACACGGCCCAGACUCCUACGGGAGGCAGCAGUAGGGAAUCUUCCGCAAUGGACGAAAGUCUGACGGAGCAACGCCGCGUGAGUGAUGAAGGCUUUCGGGUCGUAAAACUCUGUUGUUAGGGAAGAACAAGUGCUAGUUGAAUAAGCUGACACCUUGACGGUACCUAACCAGAAAGCCACGGCUAACUACGUGCCAGCAGCCGCGGUAA